rnacentral:misc_RNA from 1 species
GGAAGUAAAAGUCUAACAAGGUCUCCGUUGGUGAACCAGCGGAGGGAUCAUUACCGAGUGCAAACUCAUAACCCUUUGUGAACCUAUAUCUGUUGCUUCGGCGGCUCGCUCUCGGGCGAGCCCGCCGGUAAUAUCAGUAUCUCUGUUUGAACCCGACGAUACUUCUGAGUGUUCUUAGCGAACAGUUAAAACUUUUAACAACGGAUCUCUUGGCUCUA